rnacentral:rRNA from 1 species
CGAUUCUGGCUCAGGAUGAACGCUAGCGGCAGGCUAACACAUGCAAGUCGAGGGGCAGCGAGGAGUAGCAAUACUCUGUCGGCGACCGGCGAAAGGGUGAGUAACGCGUGAGCAACAUGCCCGAUAGAGGGGGAUAGUCAUUGGAAACGAUGCGUAAUACCCCGUAACAACGAGUGACCGCAUGGUCGUUGUUUGAAAGAUUUAUUGCUAUCGGAUUGGCUCGCGUACCAGUUAGCUAGUUGGCGGGGUAACGGCCCACCAAGGCGACGAGUGGUUAGGGGUUCUGAGAGGAAGGUCCCCCACAUUGGAACUGAGACACGGUCCAGACUCCUACGGGAGGCAGCAGUGAGGAAUAUUGGACAAUGGCCGGGAGGCUGAUCCAGCCAUGCCGCGUGCCGGGAGGACGGCCCUAUGGGUUGUAAACCGCUUUUGUUGGGGAGCAAUAAGUCUUACGUGUAAGAUGAUGAGAGUACCCAGCGAAUAAGCAUCGGCUAACUCCGUGCCAGCAGCGGC